ACGCUCGACACCUACGGGGGGCAGCAGUGAGGAAUAUUGGCCAAUGGGCGCAGGCCUGAACCAGCCAAGUGGCGUGAAGGAUGACUGCCCUAUGGGUUGUAAACUUCUUUUAUAUGGGAAUAAAGUUUUCCACGUGUGGAAUUUUGUAUGUACCAUAUGAAUAAGGAUCGGCUAACUCCGUGCCCGCAGCCGCGGUAAUCUGAGCGGGCUGGCAAGGC
rnacentral:rRNA from 1 species